rnacentral:rRNA from 1 species
UGCCAGACUCCUACGGGAGGCAGCAGUGGGGAAUAUUGCACAAUGGGGGGAACCCUGAUGCAGCGACGCCGCGUGAGUGAAGAAGUAUUUCGGUAUGUAAAGCUCUGUCAGCAGGGAAGAAGAAAGACGGUACCUGACCAAGAAGCCCCGGCUAACUACGUGCCAGCAGCCGCGGUAAUACGUAGGGGGCAAGCGUUAUCCGGAUUUACUGGGUGUAAAGGGAGCGUAGACGGCAGGGCAAGUCUGGAGUGAAAGGCAGGGGCCCAACCCCUGGACUGCAUUUGGAACUGUGCUGCUAGAGUGUCGGAGAGGCAGGCGGAAUUCCUAGUGUAGCGGUGAAAUGCGUAGAUAUUAGGAGGAACACCAGUGGCGAAGGCGGCCUGCUGGACGAUGACUGACGUUGAGGCUCGAAAGCGUGGGGAGCAAACAGGAUUAGAUACCCUUGUAU